AGAGAGAGACAUGCGCGCAUAUCAAUAAGCGGAGGAAAAGAAACUAACAAGGAUUCCCUUAGUAACGGCGAGUGAAGCGGGAAGAGCUCAAAUUUGAAAUCUUCAAGGUUUUACCUUGACGAAUUGUAGUUUAAAGAAGUGUUUUCUGCUGAAGUUUUGGUAAAAGUUCUUUGGAAUAGGACAUCAUAGAGGGUGAGAAUCCCGUAUUUGACCAUUAUUUUCAGCUUUGUGAUACACUUUCAAGGAGUCGGAUUGUUUGGGAAUGCAGUCCAAAAUGGGUGGUAAAUUUCAUCUAAAGCUAAAUAUUGGCGAGAGACCGAUAGCGAACAAGUACCGUGAGGGAAAGAUGAAAAGAACUUUGAAAAGAGAGUUAAACAGUACGUGAAAUUGUCAAAAGGGAAGCGUUUGACACCAGUGUUGUUUUCUCGAAAAUCAAUUAAAAAUGGCUCGAUUUUGUAUUGCUUGAGACCUUAAAAGCUCACUGUACAUUUUUCGUGUCUUUUUUAAUGCACUUUUCGUUUAACAAGUCAACAUCAGUUUCUUUUGUUGUAAAAGGGUCAUUGGAAGGUGGCUUUCUUUUCGGAGAAAGUGUUUAUAGCCUUUGGCCUCUGCAAUCGGAGAGAUUGAGGUCUGCAGCGUAGAUCCUUCGGGGUUAGAUACAUUUGUGCUAAGUUAUAGCCUUUUCAUAGACAACUUGUUGACUAUAAUUCAGUCAUGUAGCUUACUCGCUUAUGCUAUUUUACCUACGCUUAGGAUGUUGAAGAUGUAGCACAUCAU
rnacentral:rRNA from 1 species